rnacentral:rRNA from 1 species
CCUUUGUCUACCAUACUUUGUUGCUUUGGCAGGCCCGCCCUCGGGCCGCCGGCUUCGGCUGGCCAGUGCCUGCCAGAGGACCACAAACUCUUGUUUUUAGUGUCGUCUGAGUACUUGAUAAUAGUUAAAACUUUCAACAACGGAUCUCUUGGUUCUGGCAUCGAUGAAGAACGCAGCGAAAUGCGAUAAGUAAUGUGAAUUGCAGAAUUCAGUGAAUCAUCGAAUCUUUGAACGCACAUUGCGCCUAGCGGUAUUCCGCUAGGCAUGCCUGUUCGAGCGUCAUUUCAACCCUCAAGCCUGGCUUGGUAUUGGGCGUCACCAGCAUGGUGCGCCCUAAAAUCAGUGGCGGUGCCAUCUGGCUUCAAGCGUAGUAAUACUUCUCGCUCUGGAGGUCCAGGUGGUUGCUUGCCAAAACCCCAUACUUUCUAAGGUUGACCUCGGAUCAGGUAGGGAUACCCGCUGAACUUAAGCAUAUCA